rnacentral:tRNA from 1 species
GCGACUAUAGUUUAGUGGCAAAACAUUGGUUUGUGGAGCCAAAUUCGGGAGUUCGAUUCUCCCUAGUCGCC